GAGAGAGGCCAGAGGCAAUAAGGACUGCUAAUCCCUAUCUCCGCAGUUAG
rnacentral:tRNA from 1 species